CUUUAUUGGAGAGUUUGAUCCUGGCUCAGGAUGAACGCUGGCGGCGUGCCUAAUACAUGCAAGUCGAGCGAAUGGAUUGAGAGCUUGCUCUCAAGAAGUUAGCGGCGGACGGGUGAGUAACACGUGGGUAACCUGCCCAUAAGACUGGGAUAACUCCGGGAAACCGGGGCUAAUA
rnacentral:rRNA from 1 species